UACGGGGGGGGGCAAGCGUUGUUCGGAAUUACUGGGCGUAAAGGGCUCGUAGGCGGCCAACUAAGUCAGACGUGAAAUCCCUCGGCUUAACCGGGGAACUGCGUCUGAUACUGGAUGGCUUGAGUUCGGGAGAGGGAUGCGGAAUUCCAGGUGUAGCGGUGAAAUGCGUAGAUAUCUGGAGGAACACCGGUGGCGAAGGCGG
rnacentral:rRNA from 1 species